GGAGGUGCAUUCGUCCUGGUGGGCGGCCCGGUCUUCAAAACCGGUGCGGCGUCGUAACGGGCGCCGGGUAAGUUCGAUUCUUACGCAUCUCCGCCA
rnacentral:tRNA from 2 species